UACAGAGGUCUCAAGCGUUGUUCGGAUUCAUUGGGCGUAAAGAGCGUGUAGGCGGCCAGGUAGGUCUGCUGUGAAAACUCGAGGCUCAACCUCGAGAUGUCGGCGGAAACCAUCUGGCUAGAGUCCGGAAGAGGAAAGUGGAAUUCCUGGUGUAGCGGUGAAAUGCGCAGAUAUCAGGAAGAACACCCGUGGCUAAGGCGGCUCUCUAGUACGGUACUGACGCUGAGACGCGAAAGCGUGGGGAGCGAACAGG
rnacentral:rRNA from 1 species